rnacentral:misc_RNA from 1 species
GAAAUGCGAUAAGUAAUGUGAAUUGCAGAAUUCAGUGAAUCAUCGAAUCUUUGAACGCACAUUGCGCCCCCUGGUAUUCCGGGGGGCAUGCCUGUUCGAGCGUCAUUUCACCACUCAAGCCUUGCUUGGUAUUGGGCGACGCGGUCCGCCGCGCGCCUCAAAUCGACCGGCUGGGUCUUUCGUCCCCUCAGCGUUGUGGAAACUAUUCGCUAAAGGGUGCCGCGGGAGGCCACGCCGUAAAACAACCCCAUAUCUAAGGUUGACCUCGGAUCAGGUAGGGAUACCCGCUGAACUUAAGC